rnacentral:rRNA from 1 species
GACGAACGCUGGCGGCGUGGAUUAGGCAUGCAAGUCGAACGGUAUCAUCCUUUCGGGGGUGAGAGAGUGGCGAACUGGUGAGUAACACGUAGGUUAUCUACCCUCAAGACGGGGACAACCCAGGGAAACUUGGGCUAAUACCGGAUGUGAGCAACUUUUAGUUGUUUGAAAGGUGGCGUAAGCUGUCGCUUGGGGAUGAGCCUGCGUCCUAUUAGUUAGUUGGUGAGGUAACGGCUCACCUAGGCAAUGAUAGGUAGGCGGCCUUAACGGGUGGUCGCCCACACUGGGAUUGAGAUACGGCCCAGACUCCUACGGGAGGCAGCAGUCGAGAAUAGUCUACAAUGGUCGGAAGACUGAUAGUGCGACGCCGCGUGAACGAUGAAUCCCUUCGGGGUGUAAAGUUCUUUUAUAUGUGAGCAGUGCUUCUUAUAUUAACAGUAAUGGGGAGAGGAGAUAUUAGCAUAUGAAUAAGCAACGGCUAACUCCGUGCCAGCAGCCGCGGUAAACUCG